rnacentral:rRNA from 1 species
UACGAAGGGGGGCUAGCGUUGUUCGGAAUUACUGGGCGUAAAAGCGCACGUAGGCGGGCGAUUAAGUCAGGGGGUGAAAUCCCGGAGCUCAACUCCCGGAACUGCCUUUGAUACUGGUCGUCUAGAGAUCGGAAGAGGUGAGUGGGAAAUUUCCCCAGUGUAGAGGUGAAAAAUUCGUAGAUAUUGGGAAAGAACACCAGUGGCGAAGGCGGCUCACUGGUCCGAUACUGACGCUGAGGUGCGAAAAGCGUGGGGAGCAAACAGGG